rnacentral:rRNA from 1 species
GCCAGCAGCCAUAUCACUCUGCAACUCACAACUGGCAACCCACUGAAGCUCAGCAGGUGUGAGCCUGGUCAGUACCUGGAUGGGAGACAUCCUGGGAAAAACUAAGGUUGCUCCUGGAA